UAUGGCGGCCUAAAUGGAUUAUGACGUCAUCAUUCAAGCCCCUCGCCUUUUACCGCCGAAAAGAUAUCUUUUUCGCUUUAAAAGCUUUUUCCCGUCGAUUUUUGCAAUUUUAGAGCAGCCAGUGUGUUAAGUCAUCUUUCCAAGAUAUCUCGUGCAAGGCUUCGAAGCGAUGGAGUAAAAAUAUGGAAGAUGAUAUUGACCAUGGCAAAGAAGAUAAAGAUAAGUAAAUUUAUAAGGUGGACAGAGAGAUCAUUGAAUUUUCUUCUUUGUAUUCCACUCUUAGUGAUAAAAAAACUUAUUAAUUUUUUUUUUUGAAUAUUUGUUUUAUUUGUUCAAGCUAUGUGUUAUUGACUAUUGCACUUUUUGAAAGUAUGGUUACAAA